CCUUACUCUGUGGUAGUUGCCACAUUCUGUCAUUCUCUCAGUCCAUUGUCGCCACACUGUUCAACCCGGUUGAACCAGUUUAAUUUAUAACACUAACAGUAACCUCUGCUAUAGAUUAUGAAAUACAGCAGUAGCAGGAUAUAGUAUAUAGGAUACAGGAUAUAGUACACCUGUGGAGAGAGGCAGAGAGAGAUCCUUUUUUAUCACCACAACUGGAUUCCUGCCUGAUAGUAAAUGUGUGCUUGUUUCAUCCAAAGACCAAUCUGCCUUCAACUGAAAAACCCUGUGGCUCAAAGGGAUCUCAGUUGCAGAGAAAUCCUGAAGACUCCGGGGACCUGUUCUUUAAUUUGCAUCAACUUCACAGACAGGAUCACUGGACACGCAACGUAUCGUGCCUCCCUUCAUAGACCUCACUUAUCAAUGAGGUGUAAGCGUACACCACCGGGACUGUCUCCUGCAUGAUCCGCCACAUUAGCAUCCAUUAUGGGACUCACCUGUUCAGCGUCAGGAUGUACGCUCAGCUGGAACAUCUGUUGUUAUGUUGAGGGGGGAAAGAUCACAUUCACCAAAGAGAACACAUUCUUGGAGGUGGAGAGGGCACGGGAGCGCGUGUUGAGACAGACAGCUCCGCCGGCCUCCCAGUGGCCUCGGGGACAAUACGCGAGAUGGACACUGCACGCAGAGAACCAAUAGACCCAGAACAUGACACAGCCUGUUGAUUAUUAUACACCAGUUUUAGCAGGCUCCCCCGUUCUGAGUCAUACCCGUCAUGAAUGUGUCGGAGAACCUCUAGUGAUCUUUACCGCGAUCAUUUGGACAAUAUGGAGUCAACAUGUUAACGUUACACAAAAUAAAGAUGUCCUUG
ensembl:lncRNA